rnacentral:rRNA from 1 species
GGGAAUCUUGCGCAAUGGGCGAAAGCCUGACGCAGCAACGCCGCGUGGAGGACGAAGGCCUUCGGGUUGUAAACUCCUGUCGGAGGGGACGAAGGCGAUCGAGAUCAAUACCCUCGGUCGUUGACGGUACCCUACGAGGAAGCCCCGGCUAACUCCGUGCCAGCAGCCGCGGUAAUACGGGGGGGGCUAGCGUUGUUCGGAAUUACUGGGCGUAAAGCGCACGUAGGCGGAUCAGUCAGUCAGGGGUGAAAUCCCGGGGCUCAACCCCGGAACUGCCUUUGAUACUGCUGGUCUGGAGUCCGAGAGAGGUGAGUGGAAUUCCGAGUGUAGAGGUGAAAUUCGUAGAUAUUCGGAGGAACACCAGUGGCGAAGGCGGCUCACUGGCUCGGUACUGACGCUGAGGUGCGAAAGCGUGGGGAGCAAA